CAGCAGCCACGGUAAUACGAGGGGUGCAAGCGUUAUUCGGAUUGAUUGGGUGUAAAGGGUGUGCAGACGGCUUAUUAAGUCACUUGUUAAAUUCUUCGGCCUAACUGAAGGUCUGCAAAUGAUACUGAUGAGCUAGAGGGUGGAAGAGAGAAGUGGAAUUCUCGGAGUAGCGGUAAAAUGCGUAGAUCUCGAGAGGAACACCAAUGGCGAAGGCAGCUUCUUGGUCCAUUCCUGACGUUCAUACACGAAAGCGUGGGGAGCAAACAGGAUUAGAUACCCCCGUAGUCCCUGUCUCUUAUAA
rnacentral:rRNA from 1 species